AUUAAGGUGUCUGAAGUUAAAGGUGGUAGAUUGUAAAUUUACUUAUGUUUAUUAUUAAACUCUUAUUA
rnacentral:tRNA from 1 species